rnacentral:rRNA from 1 species
CAACAGGGAUUCCCCUAGUAACGGCGAGUGAAGCGGGAACAGCUCAAAUUUGAAAUCUGGCCCUCGGGUCCGAGUUGUAAUUUGUAGAGGAUGCUUUUGGUGCGGUGCCUUCCGAGUUCCCUGGAACGGGACGCCUUAGAGGGUGAGAGCCCCGUACGGUUGGACGCCUAGCCUCUGUAAAGCUCCUUCGACGAGUCGAGUAGUUUGGGAAUGCUGCUCUAAAUGGGAGGUAUAUUUCUUCUAAAGCUAAAUACUGGCCAGAGACCGAUAGCGCACAAGUAGAGUGAUCGAAAGAUAAAAAGCACUUUGAAAAGAGGGUUAAAUAGCACGUGAAAUUGUUGAAAGGGAAGCGUUUAUCACCAGACUUUUUCUAGGGGGAUCAUCCGGUGUUCUCACCGGUGCACUUCCCCUAGUUGAGGCCAGCAUCGGUUUUCGGAGGGGGAUAAAAGUUUCGGGAAUGUGACUCCCCCGGGAGUGUUAUAGCCCGUUACAUAAUACCCUUCUGGGGACCGAGGUUCGCGCAUCUGCAAGGAUGCUGGCAUAAUGGUGAUCAACGA